CCCCAGAUGUUGCUGAACUACAACUCCCAUGAUUUCCUGGCUAUCUGUUUCAUUGAAAGAAUCAUGGGAGUUGUAGUUCAGCAACAUCUGGGG